UGGUUUCUCUUCAGAUCAUAUAAAUCUUUCGCCUUUUACUAAAGAUUUCCGUGAAGAGGAACAUUUAU
ensembl:snRNA U5 U5 spliceosomal RNA